rnacentral:rRNA from 1 species
UACGAGGGGGGCGAGCGUUGUUCGGAAUUAUUGGGCGUAAAGGGUGCGUAGGCGGUUUGGUAAGUCUUAUGUGAAAUCUACAGGCUCAACUUGUAGUCUGCAUGAGAAACUGCCGGGCUUGAGUAUGGGAGAGGUGAGUGGAAUUCCUGGUGUAGCGGUGAAAUGCGUAGAUAUCAGGAGGAACACCUAUUGCGAAGGCAGCUCGCUGGGACGUAACUGACGCUGAGACGCGAAAGCGUGGGGAGCAAACAGG